rnacentral:rRNA from 1 species
UACGGAGGGGGCUAGCGUUGUUCGGAAUUACUGGGCGUAAAGCGCGCGUAGGCGGCCCUGCAAGUCGGAGGUGAAAGCCCGAGGCUCAACCUCGGAACUGCCUUCGAUACUGCGGGUCUCGAGUCCGGGAGAGGUGAGUGGAAUUCCGAGUGUAGAGGUGAAAUUCGUAGAUAUUAGGAAGAACACCAGUGGCGAAGGCGGCUCACUGGCCCGGUACUGACGCUGAGGCGCGAAAGCGUGGGGAGCAAACAGG